rnacentral:rRNA from 1 species
UGGGGAAUAUUGGGCAAUGGGGGGAAACCCUGACCCAGCAACGCCGCGUGAAGGAAGAAGGCCCUCGGGUUGUAAACUUCUUUUACCAGGGACGAAGGAAGUGACGGUACCUGGAGAAAAAGCAACGGCUAACUACGUGCCAGCAGCCGCGGUAAUACGUAGGUUGCAAGCGUUGUCCGGAUUUACUGGGUGUAAAGGGCGUGUAGGCGGAGGAGCAAGUCAGAUGUGAAAUCCCGGGGCUCAACCCCGGAACUGCAUUUGAAACUGUUUCCCUUGAGUAUCGGAGAGGCAAGCGGAAUUCCUAGUGUAGCGGUGAAAUGCGUAGAUAUUAGGAGGAACACCAGUGGCGAAGGCGGCUUGCUGGACGACAACUGACGCUGAGGCGCGAAAGCGUGGGGAGCAAACAGGAUUAGAUACCCUGGUAGU